rnacentral:rRNA from 1 species
UGAAUACGAGACGCUAAGGCGUCGAAGUAGUGUAUGUCAUACUUCCAAGAAAAGCUUGCACUGUCAUAGAUAAAAAACGCCUGUACCAUAACCGACACAGGUGGGUAGGUAGAGUAUACUAAGGGGCGCGAGAUAACUCUCUCUAAGGAACUCGGCAAAAUAACUCCGUAACUUCGGGAGAAGGAGUGCCUUAUUCGUAAGGUUGCAAUAACAAGAUCCAAGCAACUGUUUAUCAAAAACACAGGUCUCCGCUAAGUCGUAAGACGAUGUAUGGGGGCUGACGCCUGCCCAGUGCCAGAAGGUUAAAGAAGUUGGUUAGCAAUUGCGAAGCUGAUAACUGAAGCCCUGGUGAACGGCGGCCGUAACAAUAACGUCCUAAGGUAGCGAAAUUCCUUGUCGGGUAAGUUCCGACCCGCACGAAAGGCGUAAUGAUUUGGAUACUGUCUCGGAGAGGGGCUCGGUGAAAUAGACUUGUCUGUGAAGAUGCGGACUACCUGCACCAGGACAGAAAGACCCUAUGAAGCUUUACUGUAACUUGAAAUUGAAAUUGGACUUUAUUCGCGCAGUAUAGGUGGGAGGCGUUGAUUAUAAUCUUGUGGGAUUAUUGGAGCCAUCAGUGAGAUACCACUCUUGUAAUGUUAGAUUUCUAACUUUGAAUCAUUAUCUGGUCAAAGAACAGUUUCAGGCGGGCAGUUUGACUGGGGCGGUCGCCUCCUAAACGGUAACGGAGGCGUACAAAGGUUUCCUCUGAACGGUUAGAAAUCGUAUCUAGAGUGUAAAGGCAUAAGGAAGCUUGACUGUGAGACCUACAAGUCGAGCAGGGACGAAAGUCGGUCUUAGUGAUCUGACGGUACUGAGUGGAAAGGCCGUCACUCAACGGAUAAAAGUUACUCUAAGGAUAACAGGCUGAUCUCCCCCAAGAGUUCACAUCGACGGGGAGGUUUGGCACCUCGAUGUCGGCUCAUCGCAUCCUGGGGCGGUAGUACGUCCCAAGGGUUGGGCUGUUCGCCCAUGAAAGCGGUACGCGAGCUGGGUUCAGAACGUCGUGAGACAGUUCGGUCCAUAUCCGGUGUAGGCGUUAGAAUAUUGAGAGGAGCCUUCUUUAGUACGAGAGGACCGAGAAGGACAUACCUCUGGUGUACCAGUUAUCGUGCCAACGGUAAACGCUGGGUAGCUAUGUAUGGAGUGGAUAACCGCUGAAAGCAUCUAAGUGGGAAGCCCACCUCAAGAUAAG